GAUGAAGAACGCAGCGAAAUGCGAUACUUGGUGUGAAUUGCAGAAUCCCGUGAACCAUCGAGUCUUUGAACGCAAGUUGCGCCCGAAGCCACUAGGCCGAGGGCACGCCUGCCUGGGCGUCACACGCCGUUGCCCCCCCAUCUACUCCUUCGGGAUUGCGGGGGGGCGGAUGAUGGCCUCCCGUGCGCCUAGCCGCGCGGUUGGCAUAAAUACCAAGUCCUCGGCGACGCACGCCACGACAAUCGGUGGUUGCGAAACCUCGGUUGCCCGUCGUGUGCGUUCGUCGCGCAUCGAGGGCUCGAAAAAAUGCUCGGCUCCGGCUGGGCUUUCAACGCGACCCCAGGUCAGGCGGGGUUACCCGCUGAAUUUAAGCAUAUCAAUAAGCGGAUGA
rnacentral:misc_RNA from 1 species